rnacentral:rRNA from 1 species
GACGAACGCUGGCGGCGUGCUUAACACAUGCAAGUCGAACGGAAAGGCCCUGCUUUUGUUGGGUGCUCGAGUGGCGAACGGGUGAGUAACACGUGAGUAACCUGCCCUUGUCUUUGGGAUAACUUCAGGAAACUGGGGCUAAUACCGGAUAUGAGCUCCUGCUGCAUGGUGUGGGUUGGAAAGUUUCGGCGGUUGGGGAUGGACUCGCGGCUUAUCAGCUUGUUGGUGAGGUAGUGGCUUACCAAGGCUUUGACGGGUAGCCGGCCUGAGAGGGUGACCGGCCACAUUGGGACUGAGAUACGGCCCAGACUCCUACGGGAGGCAGAAGUGGGGAAUAUUGCACAAUGGGCGGAAGCCUGAUGCAGCAACGCCGCGUGCGGGAUGACGGCUUUCGGGUUGUAAACCGCUUUCGACUGUGACGAAGCGUGAGUGACGGUAAUGGGUAAAGAAGCACCGGCUAACUACGUG